GACGAACGCUGGCGGCGUGCUUAACACAUGCAAGUCGAACGGAAAGGCCUCUUUCGGGGGGUACUCGCGUGGGGAACGGGUGAGUGACACGCGAGUAACCUGCCCUCGUCUUUGGGAUAACUUCAGGAAACAGGGGGUAAUACAGGAUAGGAGCUCUUGCUGCACGGUGGGGGUUGGAGAGAUUCGGGGGUUGGGGGUGGACUCGCGGGGUAUCAGCUUGUUGGUGGGGUGGUGGCUUACCAAGGGUUUGACGGGGAGCCGGACCGUGGGAGUGACCGGCCACACUGGGUCCUAGAGACGGCACAAGCUCCUAAGGGAGGGAGCAGGGGGGAAGAUUGCCCAAUGGGUGGAAGCCUGAUGCAGCAACGCCGUGGGCCGGAAGACGGUCUUCGGGUUGUAAACCGCAUUCGCUCAUGACGAAGCUUUGUGUGACGGUAGUGGGUAAAGAAGCACCGGCUAACUACGUG
rnacentral:rRNA from 1 species